ACGCGUGAGCACGGGUGGCAGAGAAGGAAGUGACGAACCGCGGUGAUGGCUGUCAGGAAUUGUGGUGCUUGUGAAGUGAUAAACUGAGCCCUUUGGAUUCCAUGAAGUUAUUAAAGAAUAUAGUUUUCAAAUCACGGCAAAAUCGUGAUUUCAGCAACACGCCAAGAUGAAUCAUUGUUUUCAUGGACAACUGUGGGAGGCACUUUGGGUCCCUAUAUCCUGGAGCAUUAGCCCAGCAUGGCCUCGUGCGUACUGGGACUUACACAUACGCACAAACCUGCCCAUCUUGGCCACUGUUAACACGUGCCAUUAACUUCGUGAAACCAUGUCUGACCUAGGGAAGAUAUUCUUGAAAAACGGAUUAGAGUUUGCCAGAUCCUAUGAGUGCGUGACCUCAGAAGAGAAGAGGAGGGGACACUCCAAUGAUAAAGGUUGAAAGGAGCAGAGCCAGUUGGCCAUGGACUGAAACUUUCAGAGCUGAUUCAGAGGAGUUAAUGUUGCCAUGACUAUCUCAGAAGGAGACAUGGACAGAGGAACAGGUAUCUCACUCCCGUAGAACUGGAAAAGGCUGCAUCGUGAAUGAAAACACAGUGCAGAGUGGGACCCGUGUUGCUCUCUGGAUAGAACAACAAGAGUGGCGCCCCAAGAAGAUGGAGAGUGACGUUUUGGGAGUUUCCCAUUGGAGCAAAGUGAGAGAAAGAUGGAGUGAAUGAGGUGUCUUUAUUUUGUGAGGGAUACAUAAACUGCUUCUCAAGGAUUGGAGAUUUCUACGUAUUACUCCUUUUUAAAGAUUUCUAUUUACCCGAUUGACAAACCAGAUCAGGGUUUUCAUUGAAUUCUGCUACAUGGAUAAAGGGCUCAAGGGCAAGGGAUAGCACCAGACGUGCUAAUUAACUGAGUGAAAAAGUACAACAAGCAUUCCCUGAAGUAGCUCCUGCUGUUUGUCCAACAGGGAAUUUUUCUCAUGGGAGAUGUUUGGCACAGGGAUGUUUCUCUUCAUGUAACUCUUCAGCUCACCAGACAAGUUGAACUUAAAUUUUUAUGGUCUUGUGAGUUAGUCCGAUAAAUGAAGGAGCAAGAAAGCCAACACCCAGUUGGCAAGAAUAUGACCUACUGACUGACAGCCAUUAAAAAACUCGAUUCAAUUGGCCUGAGCUUUUCUGUAUUCUAUUAAAAAUGAAAUUUCCCCCUCAGUGAAAGUAACAUGAUCAACAUUUUGAAAGUUAUGAACAUGCACAAUUAUAUAAGCCUUGAAGCAAUGACUUGUAAAAGUAUGGAUACUCUUCCUGUAAGCGGCCAGAGGUGACCCGUGGUUCAUGACUCUCUAGACCCACAAAACCAUGCAAAUUAAUAGACUCAAACCGUUAUGUUCACAUUAAGUUUAAUAUAAGUUCUACAUCGAAUAUGUACUUCUGGAUUUAUUAUUGUACAAAUUGGACUUAACAAAUUUUUAAUAUAAAAUGUAUUAUACACCAUACAUUAAUAGUUAUAUAUCUUGUUUCUUGAGAAUUAAUUUCUACCAAUUAUUUCCUUUUGAAUACUUGCUGUUGAAUUAUUCUCAAUAUACUUGUACAAAUUCCUGCCUGUAACUAGUAAAUGUGGAUAUUUCAUUAAACAAUUACUAUAUAA